rnacentral:misc_RNA from 1 species
CGCACCUUGCGCUCCCUGGUAUUCCGGAGAGCAUGCCUGUUUGAGUGUCGUGUAACCUCUCAAUCGAGUCCUCGCUUCUGCUUAUGCGGAACUGCGAGAGACUGGAUUGGAUCGUGGCCGCCCUUGCCGUCUUGCAACAUGGACAGCUCGGCCGAAAUGUAGACAAGUGACGAUCGCCCCUUGCGUGGAAUCGGCUUGACCUCUGGCGUUGUAAAUUUUCCUCGUCAGGUCCCGUUCUUCGCAGUCGGUGUACCGCACUUCGAGAACACAUUGGAGAGCCCUGCGCUCUCGAGCACUUUUGACCUCAAAUCAGGCAGGACUACCCGCUGAACUUAA